GCCUGGGUGGCGGAACAGGUAGACGCAAGGGACUUAAAAUCCCUUGAUCCUAAGUUGGUCGUGCGAGUUCGAUUCUCGCCCCAGGCACCA
rnacentral:tRNA from 1 species